rnacentral:rRNA from 1 species
UACGAAGGGUGCAAGCGUUAAUCGGAAUUACUGGGCGUAAAGCGCGCGUAGGCGGUUUGGUAAGUGUGAUGUGAAAGCCCCGGGCUCAACCUGGGAACUGCAUCACAUACUGCCAAGCUAGAGUACGGUAGAGGGGGGUAAAAUUCCACGUGUAGCGGUGAAAUGCGUAGAGAUGUGGAGGAAUACCAGUGGCGGAGGCGGCCCCCUGGAUCGAUACUGACGCUGAGGUGCGAAAGCGUGGGGAGCAAACAGG